UCAAGGGAAAUUAUUCGACUACUAAAUUUUCUCCCCUCUCUCAUAGCAACCUUAAUUAUUCGCCAUAGCAACGAACGCACCUAAGCACACUCACGCAAUCAAUUAAAGAGUAAGUUUUAUCAGUCUUUCACAAUGAUGGCUACGGCAAGUGAAGCUAUUUGUGAAAUAUCCGAUAUAAAUUCGGAAUUACCAAUUACAGAUGUUGUAGCUGUUAAAGAUACGGUCCAGAUACCAGUGAAAAAAGAGUACGUGAUAAAUACUCUAGACCACCUGAGAGCGAUCGACAAUGUUAUUAAAGAAGGCACAAAUGAUGAAAAUGCUGUCGAGAAAAUUCCCUUAAUUACAAACUGUAUUCAAACUUUGGACAACCAGCGGUUUCACUUUCAUGAAGAACUGGAAAAAGAAACAAUUAUUAGAUUUGCCCUUCAACAUUGUCUCAUGAAUUUACCUACAAAUAUCCAAAAUGAAAUUAACGCUGCAGUUGAAGCUGCUAAAAGACAGAAUGAUGCUAUUAGAAAAAGUAAAAUUGAAGGGCUCAAUGAUCUGGAAGAGAAAAUUAGCAAAGCACGAGAAGAGCAAGUACGGUUUGAAAAAGAGAACAAUAUUUUGCUGCCACAAAGAAAUGAGAUGAGAAAAAGUCAUGAUCGCUGUCUGCUGGAUUUGAACAAACUGCUCGCUCAUAAAUCCGAGUUACAGAUCUCAUUGAAUGAAACCAGAGAGAAAAUCAGUUUACAUAAUCAAGAGAUAGUGCAAACUGAAUAUGACAUUUUGGAACUUAGAAAUGCUGUGGCCAAAGAAUGGGAAGAUGCAAAUAAAAAAAUUGAGGAAUACAAAAUUGAUAUUGAAAAUACAGAAAAAUGCUUGAAAAUGGAGCUGUCAAGAAAUGAAGUAACGAAGAAGGAAGAAGUUAAAAUCAAGGAAGAAUUAUCAGCUAGCAACUUAUUAAACCAAGAUAUUCAAACUAAUGAGAGAUCUCUGAAUAAUGAAGUUGUUUCAAAGAAGAAAGAAUAUCAGAUGCUUCAACUUGAAUUGGAUGCUGAACUAAAACUAGAACAAAAUUUAUUAUCUGAGAAAAAGAAAUUAUCCCAACAGCAACUAAAACUAACAAAUAAAUCUGAUACUCUUACCAGUGAAAAGAAGAAGAUUUUGAAUGAAUUAAAUAUGAGAUAUCAAUAUGAGACAGACAACUCAGUUCAUCUUAAGCAACAACUAAAAGAUCAGCAAGAAGCACUUAGAGUCAAUAAAGAAGCUCUAAUAAAGUCUGAAGAAAAGCUGGAAAUUAUCAAAAAUGAACAUAAAAUUAAAGAAGCUGAAUAUAAAACACAAAAGGAAGCAUUACGUAAUCUUGAAAAAACAAACAGAGAAAUUUCAGAAACAAUUCAAAGAGCCAAAAUUAGCAACAGCUUAACUGUUGCUCAUCUCAACCAACAAAUUGAGAAGUAUGGCCAAAAAUAUGAGGAAGAAAAACAACUCCGAGAGGAUAUACAACAAGAGAAAAAAGACAUAUAUACUGAAAUUGAUAUUACUAAAGCCCAUCAAAGGGAAUAUGCAGGAGAAAUGAAAAAAAAAAUUGCUGAUAUGAAGGAACAAUGUACUGAAAAGGACGAACAGGCUGAGAGUCUCAAAAAUGUCAUCCAGGAACUUGACAAUAAAAUAUGUUCUUUGGAAAAGGAGAUAGAAUCUGACAAAACCAAAUUCGCUGCUUUAAUUGAUCAGAAAAAAGAAAAGAUUAAAGAAACACAACAAGCUAUCUCAAAGUUAGAAGAAACUGUUAAGGAAAAGAAUGCAGUUAUAGAAAAGAGGACUCCAGCAUUUGAAGAAAUGGAGAAGCAUUUUCAACAGCAGACUGACAUCUUUAAUGAGAGUAAAGAUACAUUUAUUGUCACCCGCCGUACGGACAUUGCCUUAACAAAUGAGAUAAAAGAAAUGGAAAACUCUGUAGCAGAAGCUGAGGCACCAUUGAAUGACCUUCGUAAUAAGAUCAAGGAGUCUCGUGAAGAGUAUCUAAGACUGCUAGACUCUCAUUCACAGGAAUCAAAAACAACAGAAGAAGAGAUCUAUGCUCAGAGUUGUAAACUGAAAAUAUUAAUUGAAGAAAACAACAGACUGAAACAAGAUACACUAGCCAAGGAAAGAGAGUCUGAAGAUGUUAUAAAGUCCACUGAGAAACUUGAAAAAAUACUACUGCAACUUAAAAGAGAGGUUUUGAAUGCAAAAGAGGAAUUCUCAAAAGAUCUCACAACUAUGUCGGACAUGCAAGAGAAAAUACAGAAAAGAGACCAACUGACUGUUGACCAGAUGGACGUUUCAAAAAACAUCAUUGAUACAAACAUCCAAAUUGUAAACAAUGUCAGUAAAAAAGUACACAAACAACUGGAAACAUUGGGAACAUAUUUGAAAGGCACUGAAAUAAGGCGCCCAGACUAAGAGAAUGGUUACACUUCAAACUGCACUGUGUAUAUGCAUGCAUGCAUGCAUACAUACAUACAUACAUACAUACAUACAUACAUACAUACAU
rnacentral:misc_RNA from 1 species